rnacentral:rRNA from 1 species
GCUUGCUGGGUGGAUUAGUGGCGAACGGGUGAGUAACACGUGAGUAACCUGCCCUUAACUCUGGGAUAAGCCUGGGAAACUGGGUCUAAUACCGGAUAGGAGCGUCCACCGCAUGGUGGGUGUUGGAAAGAUUUAUCGGUUUUGGAUGGACUCGCGGCCUAUCAGCUUGUUGGUGAGGUAAUGGCUCACCAAGGCGACGACGGGUAGCCGGCCUGAGAGGGUGACCGGCCACACUGGGACUGAGACACGGCCCAGACUCCUACGGGAGGCAGCAGUGGGGAAUAUUGCACAAUGGGCGAAAGCCUGAUGCAGCGACGCCGCGUGAGGGAUGACGGCCUUCGGGUUGUAAACCUCUUUCAGUAGGGAAGAAGCGAAAGUGACGGUACCUGCAGAAGAAGCACCGGCUAACUACGUGCCAGCAGCCGCGGUAAUACGUAGGGUGCGAGCGUUAUCCGGAAUUAUUGGGCGUAAAGAGCUCGUAGGCGGUUUGUCGCGUCUGUCGUGAAAGUCCGGGGCUUAACCCCGGAUCUGCGGUGGGUACGGGCAGACUAGAGUGCAGUAGGGGAGACUGGAAUUCCUGGUGUAGCGGUGGAAUGCGCAGAUAUCAGGAGGAACACCGAUGGCGAAGGCAGGUCUCUGGGCUGUAACUGACGCUGAGGAGCGAAAGCAUGGGGAGCGAACAGGAUUAGAUACCCUGGUAGUCCAUGCCGUAAACGUUGGGCACUAGGUGUGGGGACCAUUCCACGGUUUCCGCGCCGCAGCUAACGCAUUAAGUGCCCCGCCUGGGGAGUACGGCCGCAAGGCUAAAACUCAAAGGAAUUGACGGGGGCCCGCACAAGCGGCGGAGCAUGCGGAUUAAUUCGAUGCAACGCGAAGAACCUUACCAAGGCUUGACAUGUUCUCGAUCGCCGUAAAGAUACGGUUUCCCCUUUGGGGCGGGUUCACAGGUGGUGCAUGGUUGUCGUCAGCUCGUGUCGUGAGAUGUUGGGUUAAGUCCCGCAACGAGCGCAACCCUCGUUCCAUGUUGCCAGCACGUAAUGGUGGGGACUCAUGGGAGACUGCCGGG